rnacentral:rRNA from 1 species
CAGCAGCAGCCGCGGGAAUACGGAGGGGGCUAGCGUUGUUCGGAAUUACUGGGCGUAAAGCGCACGUAGGCGGCUUUGUAAGUUAGAGGUGAAAGCCCGGAGCUCAACUCCGGAAUUGCCUUUAAGACUGCAGAGCUAGCAGGUGAGAGAGGUGAGUGGAAUUCCGAGUGUAGAGGUGAAAUUCGUAGAUAUUCGGAAGAACACCAGUGGCGAAAGCGGCUCACUGGCUCAUACUGGACGCUGAGGUGCGAAAGCGUGGGGAGCAAACAGGAUUAGAUACCCCGGUAGUCCCUGUCUCUUAUAC